UGCCAGCAGCCGCGGUAAUACAUAGGGAGCUAGCGUUGUUCGGAUUUACUGGGCGUAAAGGGCGCGUAGGCGGUCUUUUAAGUUAGGCGUGAGAGCCCCGGGCUCAACCCGGGAACUGCGCUUAAUACUGGAAGACUAGAAAACGGAAGAGGGUAGUGGAAUUCCCAGUGUAGAGGUGAAAUUCGUAGAUAUUGGGAAGAACACCAGUGGCGAAAGCGGCUACCUGGUCCGAUUUUGACGCUGAGGCGCGAAAGCGUGGGGAGCAAACAGGAUUAGAUA
rnacentral:rRNA from 1 species